UACGUGAGGGGCAAGCGUUGUCCGGAUUUAUUGGGCGUAAAGAGCGUGUAGGCGGCCUUACAGGUCAGCUGUGAAAACUCGAGGCUCAACCUCGAGACGUCGGUUGAAACCGUAUGGCUAGAGUCCGGAAGAGGAGAGUGGAAUUCCCGGUGUAGCGGUGAAAUGCGCAGAUAUCGGGAAGAACACCCGUGGCGAAGGCGGCUCUCUGGGACGGUACUGACGCUGAGACGCGAAAGCGUGGGGAGCAAACAGG
rnacentral:rRNA from 1 species